rnacentral:rRNA from 1 species
GACGAACGCUGGCGGCGUGCUUAACACAUGCAAGUCGAACGGAAAGGCCCUGCUUUUGUGGGGUGCUCGAGUGGCGAACGGGUGAGUAACACGUGAGUAACCUGCCCUUGACUUUGGGAUAACUUCAGGAAACUGGGGCUAAUACCGGAUAGGAGCUCCUGCUGCUUGGUGGGGGUUGGAAAGUUUCGGCGGUUGGGGAUGGACUCGCGGCUUAUCAGCUUGUUGGUGGGGUAGUGGCUUACCAAGGCUUUGACGGGUAGCCGGCCUGAGAGGGUGACCGGCCACAUUGGGACUGAGAUACGGCACAGACUCCUACGGGAGGCAAGAGUGGGGAAUAUUGCACAAUGGGCGGAAGCCUGAUGCAGCAACGCCGCGUGCGGGAUGACGGCCUUCGGGUUGUAAACCGCUUUCGCCUGUGCCGAAGCGUGAGUGACGGUAAUGGGUAAAGAAGCACCGGCUAACUACGUG